rnacentral:lncRNA from 1 species
GUAUUAUUAUACUUUUUAUAUAAUGAAAUUUGAUUUUUUUAUUUGGAUAGCUAUCAUACUAAUGAUUUAUUUAUUGUUGUUUCAGACCAAUCUUCAUUGGUAGUGAGAUGAGGUCCAUUGAAGAAUCUCGCUCUAGAGCGUUGGAGACACGAGCACCCGGGACAGCGUCUCCAUAUUGAGAUACCAAUCGGCUACACCAG